CGAGCGUCAGCGAGCCCCCAGGCGGGAGGACCGGAAGUGGCCUUUCUGGGUCCCUCCGACGCUGAACCAGAGCGCCUCGUACAUCUAACAUAAGACGGGAAUCCGGGAUGAGGAGGCCGAAUACGCUCCAGUAAGGAUAUUCAAAGUGGGAGCUUACGUGGAAGCAUAGAUGAUGUCCUUCCAUUUGAACAGACUACAGAGGCUGGGGAACAUAACAUAAUACCAAGAGCUACUGUUGACUUAGCGCUGUGUGUGCCUUAGCUCAUCUCUUGCAAUUUAUGAGCAUCAGGCCAUUGCAACAUAAGGCGCCGGCUGGCAAGUACCUCUCUACCUCCUAUCUCUACGUGUUUGACCAUUUUCUAGGUACGUCAGAUUUGGUUUGAAAACCCCUCCACUACCAGCUAACGAGCCCUGCCCAGCCCAGACAUCUAGGGCGCCGAAGCCACAGAGAGGACACUGAGGGAUCCUGGGGGACACUGGAGGAGGGGUGCCACUGCAUCCAAGCAGACUAUGUACCCACUCCUAGCCCACUGCUUCCUUCUCACUUCCAGUCCCCCUCUCCCAUCCCAGACCUCCCUCAGGGGGUUUCCAGCCUCUCCCCGCUAUCAUAUCUAUCCGCUGCAGGGAAGAGGCUGGAAGCUCUGGCAGAGUGAGAACAAGGCCAAGCUGUGCAGUCUGGGACAAUCACUAAUGCUUUCUGAAUCUGUUUUUCUUAUCUUUAAAAUGGGAAUGAGGAAUAUCCACACUCUGCUGAUUGCCUUGCAGGGAUAUUAAUGAUGUAUUGUUGAAUCAGAACAUCAGGAUGGAGUACAGAAUGCACUAAAGAUGGUCUGGAAGGAGAUCCAAUAAACUGUAGACAGAAGCUACCCCUGGAGUAUGCGAGUAGUGAGGGAAGGAUCAAGUAAUGGUGUGGGGGAGGAGAAUUUUCACUUUUACUUAAGAUGCCUUGAUAUUGCUUGAAUCUUAUUUCAGCAAGUGUGUGCCUCUUUUGCAAUUAAAAAAACAACGUCGGGAUCCCUGGGUGGCUCAGUUGUUUAGUGCCUGCCUUUGGCCCAGGGUGUGAUCCUGAAGUCCCCGGAUCGAGUCCCACGUCAGGCUCCAAAACAUGGAAACUGUUUCUGCCUUUGCCUGUCUCUGCCUCUCUCUCUCUGUCUCUCUCAUGAAUAAAUAAAAAAUCUUAA